rnacentral:rRNA from 1 species
AGGGGGCCGCGAGGCUUACCAAACCUAACCAAACUCCGAAUACCGAGGAGUAGAGCUCGGCAGACAGACCAUGGGUGCUAAGGUCCAUGGUCGAGAGGGAAACAGCCCAGACCGCCAGCUAAGGCCCCCAAGUUGUGGCUAAGUGGGAAAGGAUGUGGGAAGGCCAAGACAACCAGGAGGUUGGCUUAGAAGCAGCCACCCUUUAAAGAAAGCGUAAUAGCUCACUGGUCUAGACAAGCCGUCCUGCGCCGAAAAUGUACCGGGGCUCAAGCCACACGCCGAAGCUGCGGGCUCGACCUAGUCGAGCGGUAGCGGAGCGUUCCGUAGGCCUGCGAAGGGAGACUCGCGAGAGCUCCUGGAGGUAUCGGAAGUGCGAAUGCUGACAUGAGUAACGAUAAACAGUGUGAGAGACACUGUCGCCGAAAGUCCAAGGGUUCCUGCGCCAGGCUAAUCCGCGCAGGG